CGGCGUGGCGGCGUGCUAUACAUGCAAGUCGAGCGGACAGAUGGGAGCUUGCUCCCUGAUGUUAGCGGCGGACGGGUGAGUAACACGUGGGUAACCUGCCUGUAAGACUGGGAUAACUCCGGGAAACCGGGGCUAAUACCGGAUGGUUGUUUGAACCGCAUGGUUCAGACAUAAAAGGUGGCUUCGGCUACCACUUACAGAUGGACCCGCGGCGCAUUAGCUAGUUGGUGAGGUAACGGCUCACCAAGGCGACGAUGCGUAGCCGACCUGAGAGGGUGAUCGGCCACACUGGGACUGAGACACGGCCCAGACUCCUACGGGAGGCAGCAGUAGGGAAUCUUCCGCAAUGGACGAAAGUCUGACGGAGCAACGCCGCGUGAGUGAUGAAGGUUUUCGGAUCGUAAAGCUCUGUUGUUAGGGAAGAACAAGUGCCGUUCAAAUAGGGCGGCACCUUGACGGUACCUAACCAGAAAGCCACGGCUAACUACGUGCCAGCAGCCGCGGUAAUACGUAGGUGGCAAGCGUUGUCCGGAAUUAUUGGGCGUAAAGGGCUCGCAGGCGGUUUCUUAAGUCUGAUGUGAAAGCCCCCGGCUCAACCGGGGAGGGUCAUUGGAAACUGGGGAACUUGAGUGCAGAAGAGGAGAGUGGAAUUCCACGUGUAGCGGUGAAAUGCGUAGAGAUGUGGAGGAACACCAGUGGCGAAGGCGACUCUCUGGUCUGUAACUGACGCUGAGGAGCGAAAGCGUGGGGAGCGAACAGGAUUAGAUACCCUGGUAGUCCACGCCGUAAACGAUGAGUGCUAAGUGUUAGGGGGUUUCCGCCCCUUAGUGCUGCAGCUAACGCAUUAAGCACUCCGCCUGGGGAGUACGGUCGCAAGACUGAAACUCAAAGGAAUUGACGGGGGCCCGCACAAGCGGUGGAGCAUGUGGUUUAAUUCGAAGCAACGCGAAGAACCUUACCAGGUCUUGACAUCCUCUGACAAUCCUAGAGAUAGGACGUCCCCUUCGGGGGCAGAGUGACAGGUGGUGCAUGGUUGUCGUCAGCUCGUGUCGUGAGAUGUUGGGUUAAGUCCCGCAACGAGCGCAACCCUUGAUCUUAGUUGCCAGCAUUCAGUUGGGCACUCUAAGGUGACUGCCGGUGACAAACCGGA
rnacentral:rRNA from 1 species